CUGCAUCCACUGAUAGACCUGAGGUUGCCUUCAGUGCCUUCUGGGUUUGCAUGGAGAUGCUAAAGCAAAAUGUCCUUGUGCUUUCUGGCUGCUUCACUUCAUAGCUGCACAGAUUGAAUUAGGGAACACAUGU